CGCGCGGAUCACCGUGCUCGCCGCCGCCGACUUCCGGCCGUCCCCCGAAUCCCCCUCCGGCGACCCCGGCUGCUCGCCCUCGUCCCAGCCCCAACCCCAAGCCUGACGUAAGCUCGUCGACGCCGGCGAGCGCUGCGGCGGGCGUCCACGGGCGAUUGCGGAGGCCGGCGGAUGGGAGGACAGGACGGCCGUGGAAGCGGUGGAUUCGGGCUGCGGCGUCGGCGUCGGCGUCGGAGGGGAGUUCUAGCCUUGCCAAUGCAGGUAAAUUUUCAAGGCAGAUUGCUUCCAGUUGGGAGGAAACCCCCGUGCUUGUAAGUUUGCAUCUGCCAUGGUUAAUGCAGGGAAUUUUUACUGACCUAACACUCGGUGGAGAUGCUGAAAAUGAGGGGGACGCACUACGCAGAUGAGUUCCUGAUGAUAUUCCAAUCGGAAAUCGAGUGUCAAAUUCGCUGUCGCUUCAAAUUAUGGGUCAAAAAACCGUGUUAAUCGGUCACUGUCUCACUGGAGAAAUUUCACCAAAAUCAAGACUCCGAGCCUUGAUUUUGCGUUGCCUGAACUUGCCUGCUCUUUCAUGCUGCAGAAGGUGCCCAUCUAGAGGAAAGAAAUUUUUACGUGAGCUACCCAUUUCUUCCUGGUGCUGAGGAUUAUCAUGCACGCGGUCACCUUCUUUGUGGUGGAUUACUCUUUUCAAUGCACACCAAAGGUGAGGAAUUGCUGAGCAACAUUGCUUUCCGACAGUUAUUCUUUCACAUUCGUACAGUUUUAGGUGAUGCUUGGUGAUUAGUACUUCCCUUUCGUGGAAGCUCGCGAUGCGCUUUUCAGUUAAAGUUGCCGUGAAUCCAGCAUAGGGGGGAUGAUGACAUCCUUUUCUUUGGUCAAGGAAUGUUGGGGGUAUAGUAAUUUUCGUGCUAUUUUCCCUCGGCAUCAGCAUUUCAUAGUUCACACGUUAAGCCAACAUAUUCUUGAGUGGGUUUCCUAUAUGGCAGGGCAUGCCACAUGAUUUCCUCUUGCCAAUCAAUGACAAUUCUGAAUGAUAUUGUUCAUCGUCCACCUUGUAGGUCCUUCUUUUUUUAAAAAAUAUUUAUUCUUAUGUAUAUGUUCUGGGUGUUGUUUGAGAAUGUCAUGUCCUAGCUCCGUUGUAAAGCUGUCUUCGUUGGCCUCUUCCAAGCAGGAAGGGUCAACGAGUGGGAUGCCUUGGCUAAUCUGGGAGAUAAGAUUUGCUCAAGACAAAAACCUGAUAUUGGCAUCUCUAAGAAGUUUUAGCUCGAUGCCUGCAAGUGCUUAUUAAUAUUUCAUAUCUGUUAUCUCUUGUCAUGCCAAUACUUUGUUGGAUAUAUAUUAAGGUCAAAGCUAUAGGAAUCAAGGCCAUAUGUACCUGUCUGACAGAUAAACCUGUUGACAUACUGGCCUUGACACUGAAGCCAGAUGCUACAAGUAAUAUUGCCGAUCAUUGUAAGCAUGCAUCUCCUAAAAUUAGGUGUGACGAAUCCAUUAACCAAUUAAGGCAAGUGCAGGAUUCACACGAUGCAUUUUAUUGGAAACCUUACAUCCAAUGAGGGUGGUGUUUCUUAUCCACCAGAAAUUUACUAAAAUUUCUUAUUCCAAAAGGGGCCUGAAAAUUCUUGUCUUCAUACUCAUUUGUUUUUCAAAUAAACUUGAAAGAAAGGCCAUCGUUUGUGAAUGGAGUAAGACAGUAACUGGCUCAUCCAUACUGGAAAGUAAAUGUCUGAAAUGUAUCAGAUGUUAUUUAGGACUGGCAGUAGCACAAAGAGAGUGCUAUUAAUAUGCUUUUCUGUUAUUUUCCAGGUUCAUCAUCUUAGAAAAUGUUGGUGAGCUCUACCUACCAGGGGAUAUUCUCUCUGUCUGGAAGGAAUGAACAGGAGGUAGGUCAGGUACUGCCUGAGAGACAAACUAGACAUUGGUGUGAUAUACUUCCUUAAAAUCACAUAAAAAUGUAUAUGAUAUUAAAGGAAAACUGAAUGCCAAUGUGGGCACAGUUUAAUCACCCCUGUUAAUAAGGCUGUUAUCUUCUUCACUGGUACUCUCUUGCUACGACUAUGCAUACACGAAGACUAAUACUGUUUCAUUUACUCAUACCCUAAGUAUGGAUUUUGCUGACAUACGUUGGAGCAAUCAUACUAGCUACUACUAGCCAGGGGGAUCAGCCUAGGCUCCUAUCUCUUAACAUGUUUCUUUUUCAUUCAUACUAUGGUGCCAGCCAAAUUUCAACAAUGUGGAAGACAAAUAACAGUUGUCCAAAUUGAGCUUCCCAUCUGGCAUGAAGAAUUGUUGAAUUUGAGCCCUUCUUUUUUUUUUUAAAGACGUGUGGCUAGUGUCCUCAAACCACUAAUUUCAUCUGGAGUUGAUGAAGGAGCAGACAAAGACAUACAUAAUCUUCAGAAACACAAGGUAUGUGCUGUAUCUUCGUUAGGAAGUCAAAGAGUAGUUUUAGCAAGUUGCUGCCUUUCAGGUUGUAUGUAUCUUUAGAUUGCACCCCAGUGUUCUCUUAUUAGCAUCCCUCUUUUUUUUAAAACAAUCAUUAACAUCAAUCUUGCUAGAAAAUGGAAAAUGUAAUUGCCUGGCAACUUUGAAAAAUGAAGUUUCUUUUGUGUGGUAUUUCAGAUUUUAUUCUGCUCAUGCAAAUCUAUGAUGAAAGUCACUUAAGUGAUAUGCUUUUCUCACUGCAAACUGAUUUAUUUACUGCUCUUGUUACUAACAUAUUAACUUCCAAUCACUGUAACUAAACUUUGAUCCACACUGAGCUCAGCUGUGAAAAAUCAACCUUGCUCUUUAAAUUACACUGCAAACCAAUUCCAUCUUUCAUGGAAAUCCCAUUGGUCCCUAAAGCAUCAUUCACUAGCUGCAUAAUCCACACUACUACAGUUCUAUAUAUUCUUGCACCUCAAGCAUGCCACAUGCAUCUGCAGCUGGGCCAGCCACCAAUUCGAAUUCCAUUUUUUUUUACAGGUACGUGAAACACAAGAACCAGAUGCUUGCAUAGCUAUAUAUAUAUAUAUAUAUAUAUAUAUAUAUAAGUUAAAGUAAAACAUAUAUCAUCAUAGAAUGAGGAGUAGCAGCAGCAGUAGCUGUUGCAGUAGCAGGCAGACAUUGCUCAAAAGCCUGGUUGCUUGGCCCCAGCCUUGAAGGCCACCCCACCAAUCAUCCACUGCAGCAAUGCACAGCAGCACAUCAUCACAGAUGCUUCUGCUGCUUCUCUUCCUCCUCUGCCUCUACCUGUUCAGAUCAAUCUCUGAUGAGCUUCCAUCCUCUGCUCCUGCAUAUUCUUCUUCUUGUUCUUCUUCUUGAUCUGCCUGGUUGUGCCUUUGCAGGAAGUUGAAGGCCCUCUUGCCCUGCACCGGCUGCUCGACGGUGCAAUCGCUGGUGUGGAGCCGCUUGGACCCGGCGGCCUUGCUCUCGGCCUCCGACGA
rnacentral:lncRNA from 1 species